rnacentral:tRNA from 1 species
GGAGAGAUGGCAGAGCGGUUGAAUGCGGUAGUCUCGAAAACUAUUUCAGGUUUAUUCCUGACGGGGGUUCGAAUCCCCCUCUCUCCG